rnacentral:rRNA from 1 species
GACGAACCGAGCGAACGUUUGUUCGGAAUCACUGGGCUUAAAGGGCGCGUAGGCGGGCUGCCAAGUCUGGGGUGAAAUCCCGCGGCUCAACCGUGGAACUGCCUCAGAUACUGGCGGCCUCGAGGGAGGUAGGGGCGAGCGGAACUAAUGGUGGAGCGGUGAAAUGCGUUGAUAUCAUUAGGAACUCCGGUGGCGGAGGCGGCUCGCUGGACCUUUUCUGACGCUGAGGCGCGAAAGCUAGGGGAGCAAACGGG